rnacentral:lncRNA from 1 species
GUACGUGAUGUGUGUGAGUGGGGUGUGUGAUCGACGCUGAUGUGACGUGUGCAUGUGUGUGGGGGGUGUGUGUGUGUGUGACUGUGUACGUGGUGUGUGUGAGUGGGGUGUGUGAUCGACGCUGAUGUGACAUGUGCAUGUGUGUGAGGUGUGUGUGUGUGCCUGUGUACGUGGUGUGUGUGAGUGGGGUGUGUGAUUGAUGCUGAUGUGACGUGUGCAUGUGUGGGGUGUGUGUGUGUGUCUGACUGUGUACGUGGUGUGUGUGAGUGGGAUGUGUGAUCGACGCUGAUGUGAUGUGUGCAUGUGUGGGGUGUGUGUGUGUGUCUGACUGUGUACGUGGUGUGUGUGAGUGGGAUGUGUGAUCGACGCUGAUGUGACGUGUGCAUGUGUGGGGUGUGCGUGUGUGUGACUGUGUACGUGGUGUGUGUGAGGGGUGUGUGAUCGACGCUGAUGUGACGUGUGCAUGUGUGUGGGGUGUGUGUGUGUGUGACUGUGUACGUGGAGUGUGUGAUCGAUGCUGAUGUGACGUGUGCAUGUGUGGGGUGUGUGUGUGUGUCUGACUGUGUACGUGGUGUGAGUGGGUGGGGUGUGUGAUUGAUGCUGAUGUGACGUGUGCAUGUGUGGGGUGUGUGUGUGUGUCUGACUGUGUACGUGGUGUGUGUGAGUGGGGUGUGUGAUCGACGCUGAUGUGACGUGUGCAUGUGUGUGGGGUGUGUGUGUGUGUGACUGUGUACGUGGUGUGUGUGAUCGAUGCUGAUGUGACAUGUGCAUGUGUGGGGUGUGUGUGUGACUGUGUACGUGGUGUGUGUGAGUGGGGUGUGUGAUCGACGCUGAUGUGACAUGUGCAUGUGUGGGGUGUGCGUGUGUGUGACUGUGUACGUGGUGUGUGUGAGUGGGGUGUGUGAUCGACGCUGAUGUGACGUGUGCAUGUGUGGGGUGUGUGUGUGUGUGUGACUGUGUACGUGGUGUGUGUGAUCGAUGCUGAUGUGACGUGUGCAUGUGUGGGGUGUGUGUGUGUGUGACUGUGUACGUGGUGUGUGUGAGUGGGGUGUGUGAUCGAUGCUGAUGUGACGUGUGCAUGUGUGGGGUGUGUGUCUGACUGUGUAUGUGGUGUCUGUGAGUGGGGUGUGUGAUAGAUGCUGAUGUGACGUGUGCAUGUGUGUGGGGGGGGUGUGUGUGUGUGACUGUGUAUGUGGUAUGAGUGGUGUGUGUGAUCGAUGCUGAUGUGACGUGUGCAUGUGUGGGGUGUGUGUGUGUGACUGUGUACGUGGUGUGUGUGAGUGGGAUGUGUGAUCGACGCUGAUGUGACAUGUGCAUGUGUGGGGCGUGUGUGUGUUUGUGUACGUGGUGUGAGUGGGGUGUGUGAUCGAUGCUGAUGUGACGUGUGCAUGUGUGGGGUGUGUGUGUGUGUGACUGUGUACGUGGUGUGUGUGAGUGGGGUGUGUGAUCGAUGCUGAUGUGACGUGUGCAUGUGUGGGGUGUGUGUGUGUGUGACUGUGUACGUGGUGUGUGUGAGUGGGGUGUGUGAUCGAUGCUGAUGUGACGUGUGCAUGUGUGGGGUGUGUGUGUGCGACUGUGUACGUGGUGUGUGUGAGUGGGGUGUGUGAUUGAUGCUGAUGUGACGUGUGCAUGUGCGGGGGGUGUGUGUCUAUGUGUAGGGUGGCGGAAAGAGUUUCACCAAAUUUCUGCUGCUAAAGGUAUAUACUUACCCUAACCAACCUCACUCUAGGAGACUGUAAGCAACUGUUUACUGGGGCAAGAAGAUUCUAGACAACGCCUUGGACAGAUAAGGGGAAUACUUGCAGUGGUUGACCAAGUAAGCUACAUCGAAAACAGAGAUUAAUCCUGGUUCUUUGAACAGUGAGCCCCAAAAGGAACUUUUCAUCUGGUCCCUAGUUUAAGUAGAAGGGGGGUGGACUUUCAACUUGAGCUUUUUUUUUUUUUUUUUUUUUUUUAAAGAAAAGGUUAUUCACAGGAGAGGAGCUUGCUUAACACUGAACAGAACUGUUCCCUCACUCUCUCCCAGGUGCCCUGGGUAACUGAGAGACUUUUGUUACUAGGGUCGGCACGAGACCAAGGAAAAUAUCACCCUACUUGUCUAUUUAUAUAAAAUACUCCAACCAUUUCUGUGUCUUUAUGUUUAGGGGUAAUAGCCACACAGCAUAGAUGUUGAUGUUUCAUGCAUGUGAAAUAACACAGUAGAAACCUCCUUUAAAAAAUUACUUUUCUU